rnacentral:rRNA from 1 species
UACGUAGGGGGCAAGCGUUGUCCGGAUUUAUUGGGCGUAAAGAGCGUGUAGGCGGCUUGGUAGGUCCGCUGUGAAAACUCGAGGCUCAACCUCGAGAUGUCGGCGGAAACCACUUGGCUAGAGUCCGGAAGAGGAGAGUGGAAUUCCUGGUGUAGCGGUGAAAUGCGCAGAUAUCAGGAAGAACACCUAUGGCGAAGGCAGCUCUCUGGGACGGUACUGACGCUGAGGAGCGAAAGCGUGGGGAGCAAACAGG